GAGUCGGGUUGUUUGGGAAUGCAGC
rnacentral:ncRNA from 3 species